CUACGGGCCGCUGCAGUGGGGAAUUUUGCGCAAUGGGGGAAACCCUGACGCAGCAAUACCGCGUGAGUGAAGAAGGCCUUUGGGUCGUAAAGCUCUUUUCUUGGGGAAGAUAGUGACGGUACCCAAGGAAUAAGCACCGGCUAACUCCGUGCUCAGCAGCCGCGGUAAUACGGAGGGUGCAAGCGUUGUUCGGAUUUACUGGGCGUAAAGGGCACGUAGGCGGCACAGCAAGUUAAGGGUGAAAUCCCGGGGCUCAACUCCGGAACUGCUCUUAAAACUGCUGAGCUAGAGAUAGUCAGAGGCGGGUGGAAUUCCAGGUGUAGAGGUGAAAUUCGUAGAUAUCUGGAGGAACACCGGUGGCGAAGGCGGCCCGCUGGGGCUAUUCUGACGCUAAGGUGCGAAAGCGUGGGGAGCAAACGGGAUUAGAUACCCUGGUAGUC
rnacentral:rRNA from 1 species